CUGGUUUGUGAUGGCAGGCCAGGGUGUGACACCCCCGGCCCCAGGCCAACCACGGGGGCAGGAGAGGGCACAUCUCACCCAGCACUCUCUGUAAACACAGGGCUGCUGCCGACCUCCCCAGCUUUCGGGAAUGCUCACCAAGCUCAUUGCUGGGAAGGAAGACGACCAGCGACGCCCCGGAACCAACAGGCCAGUCCCACCGUGGGCUCUGGCCUUACUAAAGUUUCCUGGCUGGAAGCUGCUGGCCCACUUUUACUUGUAGGGCCCAGAGCAGAUCAGAGGCCGCACGUGGAUAGGAGCACUGGGCCCCAUCUGUGUUCCCUGUCACACUUCCGGUUUUUAUGUGUCCUUGUUACAAUAUUCAGGCAGUUCGGGGUGGAGUGGCAGUCCUAUGGCAUGAAGGGCCAGACGGGACGGGGGGAGGACAGAGCAGCACAGGUUGGCCCCUGGAAUCAGCCACCCUACCCACAACUUGCAAAAGUGGAUCCUUAAAACUUUCAGAGUCUCGUGAGGUGGUUAACAUCCUGUUGGUAGCUUGCCACCUGCCACGUGGGCGUGUUUACAGCAGAGUAAUUGGCACUUGCUACAAACCACUCCAACCAGAGCAAAAAGGGCUCAAGCCGACAGCAGGUGCAUGUUGCCCACCAAGACCUGCUCUGCAUUCAAGGGACACCCCGGAACCCCCACGAGGUGCCACGCCCACCACCCUGGGGAACCCACAGCCGCUCCCCUCUUUCACACCCUCCUGGGGAGAGCUGGCACCUCUCUCUUGCUUCUCUAUCUUGCCAAGCCAGGGGAGUGGCACAGUCAGCACGGUGCCCAUGGCCCCAACCAGCUGCUCAGCAGUGGGUGGGGAUGGGUGGCUGAGCCAGCCUGUGCUAAUGGCAAUAAGGGUAGGUCUUCAUCACCAGAAAGACUGGGAGCCUGGAGCAAACCUGAGUUGUCUCUCAUGCCCCACUGCCCGCCUCCCCCCACCCCCAGCAGGCCAGCAAGUGCAAACUUGGCCUAAAUACCACCUCCACCUGCGGGAGCUCCUUCGGUGCACUCAGGAGGUUCCACCACCUGCUCCCUAGGUAUCUGGCAGGUGGGUGGGUGCCCAGCACCUAGCACUGCUGCUGCUUCUGCAGGUGCACAGCACAGAAAGCCACAGAAGUUAGGACACAGCCAGGGCCUAAAAAAUGAUCUGGAAGGACAUGGGCCAAGGUGCAGCUGGCCUCGUCCAGGCAGGAGGGCACUCAGGCAUGCUCACUACAGGGCCAUCCUCAGGCUGCCACCCGGACUUGAGGCCUGCCUCAAGGCCUCCCCCUCUCUUCCAGCUCUGAACGCCGCUCCAAACAUGUGGCUGAGUGGGAAGCUGGCUCUGGCCACAAACACGGGAUCCCGUCCCCUAACCCCAUCUGGAGGUGCCAGGAUCCACCUCUCAGGAGAUCAGCAAGGGGAGAGUCAGAGAGCUUACGUCGGACGCCUCCAGAACCUGACCCCUGGGAGCCGCCUCGGCAAGGGAAGAGGACUCAGAGAAGCCCUCCAAACAUAAAGUUGCACAGGACACCCAGCACAACUCCUCUGGGGCAACAGGCAGUAAGUGGCCGCCUCCCUGCAGACGGAGCCCAGGCCUGGGGGUCAGUCACCUCUGCUCAAAGCCCAGCAGGAUGGGCUGAGUCUAGGGUGAGCAGAGCCAUGGUGAAAGCCUGGCCUUGCCUUUCCCCUGGACGCUUCUCCAGGCCCGACGGUGACGUCACAGACACUGACAAGCACAGAGGGCUGUCCCUCAGCCUCCCUCAUCUGGGAGGGAUAAGGGCUGCAUUCUGAGACCGGGAAGCAAAUGCUGCUUCCAGAGAAGUGAAAACGUAAGCAGAUCACCAGCACACCCUCUCACAGGGGCAGCUACGAACAAAGUAAGGGACAAAGUGCAAAACAACAUGGGGUUCAAAAGAGAGGUAGAGCUGCCGCGCAGUCACGUGACCCCAGCUCUCUGGGGGCCCACCUGUGCCCAACACUCAGAGCACCCCAUGCUCCUUCGGUGCGCUCAGGAAGUUCCUCUCAGCAAUGUGUCCAGCAUCCACCCCACGCCUCGCCCUGUGUGAUUGCCCCACUACCCUCGGGCCCAGGCCUCACUGUUGCCCUCCUGGGGUGAGGCCGGUGGGAGCAGACGGUGGAGAAAACACCAAGUAUGUUGAGUGGUCAGCCACGGCCACAAGCCCUUUACCUCUGCGGAUGCUCAGACUCAUGUGGCCUGAGGCCAGAGUGACAAAGCUGAGGCUCUUCCACCCGCAGGGAUUUCCUGAGGCUGUCCACAUGGGCAUUUGGGGACAUAAGCCACCAGGGGCGGGGGGAGAGGACCAGGCAGCUAAAGAACGAGAUGGCCCUUCCGUUGCCACACCAACACCAAGACCUCUGGCAAGCAGGGCCAUGUGGAGGGCGGCAAGGAGCACCCACUGGGUCUGCCACACCAGGGUUCAAAACUCGGCUCCCUCACCAACUGACCUGUGGCACUGCUGUCACCUACCGAGUGCUCCCAACUCCAUGGUCAGACACAGGCACUGUGAGGACACAAGGAGGUCACACGUGGGACCGAGAACUGAAACGUGUCUACCUAAGAUAACCACCACCCUCCACCUCGCCUCCUCAUCCCAGCAGAGCAGGAGCAGCCUCUCGAUGCCCCAACUCCACGAUGACGGCAGCCAGGCUCGGAGAAGCAGCACGUCUGUCAACGAAGCAGGAAGGCUCUUGCUGCAGACCACUCUUCCCUGGAGCCUGUGCCUCCACGUGGGCACUGGUCCCUCUCUGACCCCCCAGGCUUGACCUCUAUGCAGGAGCAUGGGGCCCCCAGCCCCGCCCCUUGGCCAUGCCAGGCUGGGGAGAAACGCCCAGGCAGUAAACUGCCACGGGGGCCGGCGGGGCCUGCUUCUGCGUCUGCUGCCAGGGACCUCUGGCACCUUCUCAAGGGAGUCCCUAGUGGGAUACGCCAGGGCCCCCAAAUCAGGAGGGAAACAAAGGCAAAUUGGGGCCACAGAAGGGUCUGGCCUCACCUCCUGGCCCCAAUCUAUUGUGGCUGGGUGGGGGAUGCCAAGAUGGGGGUCAUGGAGGGAGUGAAGAUAAAAGCCCAGCUGGGACCCCAUUCCCCGGGUCCCCAUCAGCCUAUGGCAACAUGUACUGGGUACUGGUUGCAAAAGAGAAAACUGAAGCCCAGGGUGCUCAGAGCUCUCACACCAGUGCACAGCCUCUUGGGCAACGAAGCUCCCCUGGACACCCCCACUGCGGCAGGCAACCUGUGAGCCCCAGGGACCCCUGACUUCCCUUCAGCUCCAGCACACACCCCAUGCCCUGGCCAGAGUCUGAUCCUGAUCCUGAUCAUUGCCCCCUCCUCCCGGGAGCCAGGCAUGCCCGGAUGGAGUCUGCUGGAUUUCCGAACCCAGUGAAUCCACCGUUCCAGGGUGGUGUGGGGGCGGGGGCAGGAUCUCUGACAUACACAUGCCCACCCCCAGGGCCUGGGAUGACAUCCCAAAUCAAACACAAUAUGCUGCAAGGAAACAUGAAUUUUCAUCCUAAGGAUAAAUAAGGAUCUGCUGCAGGGUCAGGUUUUGCUGCACAGGUUUUUUGCUGUUUUUUUAGGGAAAAAAGCUCUGUCCCCAGAGUUUCUGGUGACUGAAGUGGAGCCAAGGAUGGCGGCCCUGUGACAAGGAAGGCUGCCUGUCACUAUCAGCUUCUACGCCAGCCUGGAACUUUACGAUGUCACAUGGAGGGGGACAGGCCUGUACUUCGCCAUCUCAUGGUCCAGGCAAUCACAGGCCUUACAAGGGUGCAGAUGUACAGAACUGAGAACAUGGUCCUGCCUGCGGGCAGCGGCCACCACUGACAGAAGCCAACAGGUGAGGACAUUCCCACCUCCAAGUCCCGGGGUUCCAGGUACUUGGGACCUCGAUGGGGCCCCCAGAGCCCCAGCUCCUAUGAUAUGGUGCCCCCACUCCAGCCACCAAGCCCAACUUUAACCACACACAGAGAAAAUGGAUUAGGGACACCUGAACUGUCACUGCACUCCAGGUGACAUAUUUCAAGGAGAUGGAAAAGUACUUCCAAACACCUCAUUAACUCUGGACGAGGUCCCCCGGAACUUCCAGGGCCUGUGGCAAGCAGGGAGGAGGCUUCCUCCAAAAUGCAGCUUUUAGCUGGCUCUCACUGGAGAUCAUAAAGGCCCUAAAAAGGAGGUCAAUUGAGAGCAGACUCUCUUCUAGAAUACUUAAAAGCUGGAGAAAGAAAUAAACACUCACCUAUAGCACUGAAGCAGCAGGGCCGAAAGCCUCUGGCCGCACACAGGUCCCCAUUACCACUACUGUAAACAUACAUCCAGGAGCCAGACUUCAAAUGUAAACCACCAAAGCGUGAAUGAUCCCGAAACAUGACACUUUAAGAGCCCCCAAGCUUCUCGAAUGGCAGGAGCACAAGUACCCAGAGUGGGGGGGGCGGGGGUGUGCAAGCACCAAAGGCUUCCUGGACACGCCAGCCACCACCUGGGCACCUAGACAGUGACCAGUAGCCCCGGUCCAAACACACCAGGCAGCCCACUGUGACGUGGACACCUAUCGGUCUCUUCUGCUCAAACAAAGGGCAAAGCCUCACGUGGGAGGGAAGGGGCGCUCCCAAGAUGCAAAUUCCUGGGGCACCCCAAGUUCCCAAAGGUAAGAAUACAGCAAGCAGGGUGCUGCUUUCCACCGUAAUUCUUUAAAAUUUCCUCGUGGGGCAGCCCGGGUGGCUCAGCAGUUUAGCACCACCUUCAGCCCAAGGCAUGAUCCUGGAGACCCAGGAUCGAGUCUCACAUCGGGCUUCCGGCG